CUUUCUGGCUUCCUGCCCGCUCCUUGUCCAAGACACUGCAGUCCUCCGGGCCAGGGAUGCCGUCUGCCUCCAGCCUCCUAGAAGCCUUCCUGACCCUGCUGAGUUCCAGCGACUUCCCUGCUUAUUAUCUCCUAUUGAUUCUGUGCUUGCUGUGGGGCUUCGUGAGACUGUGAGCUCCUGGAGGGCAGGGGCUGUCUUGUGCUUUUCUCAUUCUCCCCAUCGCUUAGCACAGUGCCUCACACAUAGUAGGUGCUGAAUAAAUGCUCACUGACUUAACUUGACCAGUGUCUAACAUUCACAAGGAAGAGGGAACCUGAGGUCAGUCCUGGAAUCAGCAGGUGAAGAGGAGGGCACAGCUGACCUCCUGUUGGGAGCCGAGGGGAGGCUGAAGACUUCUCACCUCAGACACCGCCCAGCUGCAAAGAGCAGAGUGAUGUAAUAGGAAGUGGCUUUUCUCCAGAACCAGCAGACCUGAGUUCAGAUCUUGGGAACGUCCCGUAUUAUCAUGUGGCUUUGGAGCUGCCCCUGGAAUCGAUUGACCCUUUCCUUUUCUUGGGAUCACCUGAACUUCUGUGUUGACCUCAGAGAUUCGGAAAGUCUGCCUGGGGUCACACAGCUGCCAGGUCUCAGAGCCAGCCUUUGAAUCUCUGCCUUCCUGACUCUGUUAAGCCCCAGCCCUUGAGCACCAGGUCUUCAUGGAGUCUCACCAGCUUAUUGCAACAGCUUCCAACUGGGCUCUCCAAGUCAUCCCUCACACUGCUGCCAAAGUCAUCUUUCUCAAACCUGGAUCUAAUGGCCGAUUCCCUACUCAGCGGCUCCAGUAACCUCUAAAAUCAAAUCGACAGAUGCAGGUCAAACCCCAUCUUCUGCACGAAGUCUUUCCUGACUCCCCCAGUCGCUGGUGCCCUCCCUCUCGCAGGAUCCCAGGCUAAAUAUAGUCGGGUCCUUCACCCCUCCGCGUCCUAGCCCCCGCCUCAGGACCCGCUCUGGAAACCGCCACAUCGUGCAGCUCGCUCCUGUUGCCUGGCAUUCUAUGCACUACACUACCUAGCUGCCCCUAUGAACUGACACAGAGCAAAAAACAAGACCACGAUUCAGGAGACUGGGACUUAUUCACCAGAUCUAGAACAAAGUCCACGAAAACCCCACCAAUGGGUGGUUGACCUCAGACUCCAUUCAAAGACCAAUCUUGGCUCAAAGACAUGAAAGGAGAGCUUGGGACAGAAUGUCACAAGGGGGUUGCUGGUCCCUGGGAUUUGCUUAAAUGUUUUUCUCUGUUUACAAAGGGGUGGGGAAGAUGGUGAGAUGAUUUUGGGAUAAAAAAAAAAAAUAAAUGAACAAAACUUAAAAAAAUAAACUUAGGAAGUAGAGAUUUCCCUCCGGUGCUGGUUCAAGCCCCACCUCCUCCGAAAGCUUCAUCCAUCCCAGGUCGACUUGGUAAGACUAAGUGACAUUCAUCCCGAAAUUUUAACUUGCAAAGUGCCUUCCCUCUUGGGUUCUUAAGGGUGCCAUUGCUAAAAGGAUGCAGGGUGCCAGGGAAAAGGGAAUAGAUGGUGAUAACUGGAUUCAAGGGCUGCAAAGAGAAGGAAGCUUCCUAGAUUGUCCAAGUUGGAGUGCUCGCUGAUGGCCCGGCAGCAUAGCUACAUCACCCCAAGAACCUGGCAGUCCCUCCUCAGGGUGUGCCACCAGUGGCCAGAACCAGAGGCCGUUGUGGCAGCUUCUUUUCCUCUUAGACACGGAGCGCUGCCCCUCAGCCUGCCAGAUAAACAGAGAUCGCCCUCCCUGACCUGCCAUGUUUGAAAGAUGGAUGAUGUUGGGGCAGUCCCCGUGACUCCCCUGUCAGGACUCACCGGGAUGGUCCUGAGUGACGUUGCCCAUCACCCAGCUCAUCACCAAACCCUGGCAGGCAGAGGAACUGGGAGAACCCUUAGAAAGCUCUCACUGCCCAGAGGACUACACUUCGUCUCAAUUCUCUCCAAUAUUCCCAAACACCCAUCACGGGACACCAGUCAGGUGGGUAGCAGCGGCUCCUCCAACGAACAAGAGCCAGCUUCUAGGGAUGCUCCCUGAGCAGUCUCCCGCCCCUCCAGCUGACACACAUAACGGCUGCUAUGCGAUGCAGCCAGGUGUUGCUGCAGCAGAUAGAGUACUGGCCUUAGAACCAGAAAGAUCUGAGUUCAAAUCCUGCCUCAGACACUAAUUAGCUGUAUGAUCCAGGCAAGUUGUUGAACCUUAUUCAGUCUCAGUUUGCUUAUCUGGAAAAUGCGGAUCAUCAAAAUAGCAUCUACCUCCCAAGACCAAACGAGAUGAUAUUGAUAAAGUGCUUCGUGAAUCCGAAAGUGCAAUAUACAUGCGUACUCUCUUGUAUUAACCUUGGAGCGUUAUGCAUACUAUGCUAUUAUCUA